AGCACAGAUAAGACCCACAGUCAGGUUACACCCGAGGGAACACGCUCAGAUGUAGCUGGAAAAAUGCUUGUUUUGCCGUAAGACCGAUGGUCUGAGUGCUGGCUCUCCGGCGACGUCCCCUCGCAGGACCAUCGGAGGCCUUUUCCACAAAAAAGAGGAAAAAGAGGAAGAAGAGGAAGAAGAGGCUAACGGCGCUCCGCA
rnacentral:lncRNA from 1 species